UACCAAGCCUUGACAUUGAUUGACCGGACAAGAGAUUGUCCUUUCCCCUUCGGGGGACAAGAAAACAGGUGGUGCACGGCUGUCGUCAGCUCGUGUCGUGAGAUGUUGGGUUAAGUCCCGCAACGAGCGCAACCCCUAUCUUCUGUUACCAGCGAGUAAUGUCGGGGACUCAGGAGAGACUGCCGCAGACAAUGCGGAGGAAGGCGGGGAUGACGUCAAGUCAUCAUGCCCCUUAUGGCUUGGGCUACACACGUACUACAAUGGCUCUUAAUAGAGGGACGCGAAGGAGCGAUCCGGAGCAAACCCCAAAAACAGAGUCCCAGUUCGGAUUGCAGGCUGCAACCCGCCUGCAUGAAGCAGGAAUCGCUAGUAAUCGCAGGUCAGCAUACUGCGGUGAAUACGUUCCCGGGCCUUGUACACACCGCCCGUCACACCACGAAAGUCAUUCACACCCGAAGCCGGUGAGGUAACCGCAAGGAGCCAGCCGUCGAAGGUGGGGAGGAUGAUUGGGGUG
rnacentral:rRNA from 1 species